rnacentral:tRNA from 1 species
GAGGUUGUAGCUCAGUUGGUUAGAGCGUCGGAUUGUGGUUCCGAAGGUCGGGGGUUCGAGCCCCCUCAUCCUCC